AAUUCUUAAAUAAAUAAUCACUUAAUAGUGCAUGUUCUUUAAUUUUCAUUACAUGUUGAUCCAAAAUAUGCACCUAGCGUGCAUUACAAAAAUGUUUCCCAAAGUAGCACAUAUUGUCCAUUACAUAGAAGUUACAAAAUAGAUGUUUCUUAGAUUACAAUACAAACUACCUAAUAAUAAGCAUUACUGAGUCAUUAUCCUUGAAAUAUCCCCCCAUGAUCUCAUUUUCUUCCCA
rnacentral:lncRNA from 1 species